UCAUGCCCCUUAUGACCUGGGCUACACACGUGCUACAAUGGACGGUACAACGAGAAGCGACCCUGUGAAGGCAAGCGGAUCUCUGAAAGCCGUUCUCAGUUCGGAUUGCAGGCUGCAACUCGCCUGCAUGAAGCUGGAAUCGCUAGUAAUCGCAAAUCAGCACGUUGCGGUGAAUACGUUCCCGGGCCUUGUACACACCGCCCGUCACACCAUGAGAGUCUGUAACGCCCGAAGCCGGCGGGAUAACCGAAAGAGUCAGCCGUCUAAGGCGGGACAGAUGAUUAGGGUGAAGUCGUAACAAGGUAGCCGUAGGAGAA
rnacentral:rRNA from 1 species